rnacentral:rRNA from 1 species
GAUGAACGCUAGCGGCAGGCCUAAUACAUGCAAGUCGAACGGGGCAGCAAUGCCCAGUGGCGCACGGGUGCGUAACGCGUAGGCAAUCUGCCUACUCCUGGGGGAUAGCCCGCCGAAAGGUGGAUUAAUACCGCAUAACACUGCAGGGUGGCAUCACCUAACAGUUAAAGAAUUUCGGGAGUAGAUGAGCCUGCGUGCCAUUAGCUAGUUGGUGCGGUAACGGCGCACCAAGGCGACGAUGGCUAGGGGAGCUGAGAGGCCGAUCCCCCACACUGGCACUGAGAUACGGGCCAGACUCCUACGGGAGGCAGCAGUAGGGAAUAUUGGGCAAUGGGCGCGAGCCUGACCCAGCCAUGCCGCGUGACGGAUGAAGGCCUUCUGGGUUGUAAACGUCUUUUGCCCGGGAAGAAAAAACUCUUGCGAGAGGAAUCGACGGUACCGGGUGAAUAAGCACCGGCUAACUCUGUGCCAGCCGCCGCGGUAAUAC